UUAUCUAAAAGAUAAUAAAAAUAAAUUACAAAAGAAAAAUGGAUGUUUUUACUUAAAAGCAUCACACAUGUGCCCCACUGGUGUGGCUCAGUGGUUGACCUAUGAACCAGGUUAACCUAUGACCUAUGAACCAGGAGGUCACGGUUCGAUUCCCUGUCAGGGCACAUGCCCGGGUUGCAGGCUUGAUUCUCAGUGGGGGGCAUGCAGGAGGCAGCCAAUCAGUGAACCUCUGUCAUCAUUGAUGUUUCUAUCUCUCCCUCUCCCUUUCUCUCCAAAAUCAUUGAAAACAUAUUUUUAAAAAACCACCAUGGACAUACAUAUGUGGUUACAGGCUGCUGGCAUCCAACUAACAAUGAAGCCAAUGGUGGCACCUUCAAACACCUGGAUGUCUCGGGCUCUAACCGGAUGCUGUACUUCCGUAUUCUCCCAACACCGUGACUUGAAGGGGGGUUAUUUAAUUAUUGUGCAAUAGUUCGGGAACAACAGAAAAUAUCAUCAGAUUGUUAGGCCGCAUCCCCUGCUAAGACCUUGGAGCUGAGGCUGAAAUGUCAGGUGUGCCUUCUCGUGGGCUGAGGUGACCCCAGGAAGUCAGCUGACCACCUCUAGCACCAACUCAACCACUCAGUGCAGCCGCUGAAGCACCACGUUUCUUCAGCACCAAGCGUUCUUUCAAUAGCGCCUCAUAGGGCAGGCCAAUUCCUGGGUUUCUUUCUAGUGUCUAUUAUUCCUUAGCUCAGAGGAGGCCCAUCUUGGAGACCCAUGUGACUUAUACUGAAACAUUACUGUAUCCCUGCUACUCUGAACUCUCCUUCUACUGUGCUUUUGCCAAUAAUCAGAGACAUGUGUUCCACUAAGCACACAUUUCUCUCCUGCCCCUUUUAAAUCUCCAUCUCUUUCAGGGUGCUUUGAAGUUAGUGUUGAAACUUGUCAUCUUAUAAUAAUUCCCAUGGCAACAAGCUGUGCGAAGACAAACGAACACAGGGUUAAGACUUCACUGCAGGAAUCAAGCAGAUGGAAUAAUCAAGCUGUGAGGAGAAAACCUUUAUUUAAACAUAAAUAUCUUCCAGAAGAGAAUGAAGCAGUGAGGAAGUGACCACAGCGGCUCAGAAGGGAAAGAAAGGACUAUUUGCUUCUACCAUGUUACCUCUCCGGUAGACCUCAGUGCCCAGCCUGUCUUUCAAUAGAGCCCACGGAGGAGAAUAUAAUGUCGGCCCAGAGCACUUACCAAAAAGAGAGAAAACCAUGCCCGGGGCUCCAGCUGGUGGCUGAGACGCGCCCAGCAUGGCUAUGCCUAACUUUGCCCCUUGUACAGCAGGAGUAGAAGGAGGGUCAUCGGUGCAAAUUCAGAGAGUCACCUUAUCAAAGCUUGGUGGCCAUGCAGCUCUAAGCCAGGCUGCUGGAGCUCUGCAGUCUCAGAAGGGGUGAGGGCAGGUGGCCAAGUGAAUUCCACACCCUCAAGCACGGUGUGGCCUCAGGGAAGCCAUGUUCUAACCAGGGUGGAGUGGGAGGUAAUACUGGGCUGAGUACUUGUUGAGGGUUGAACUGUGUCCUUUCCAAAUUCAUAUGUUAAAGUCCUCACCCCUAGGUUCUCAGAAUGUGACCUCGUUUGGAAAUGGGGUCAUUGUAGAUGUAAUUGAGAUGAGGUUAUACUGCAGGAGGAUGGGCUCCAUAUGACCUGUGUUUUUAUUUUUACUUAUUUUUUUGAAUAUAUUUUAUUGACUUUUACAGAGCGGAAGGGAGAGGGAUAGAGAGUUAGAAACAUCGAUGAGAGAGAAACAUCGAUCAGCUGCCUCCUGUACACCUGCUACUGGGGAUGUGCCCGCAACCAAGGUACAAGCCCUUGACUGGAAUCGAAUCCGGGACCCUUCAGUCCGCAGGCCGACGCUCUAUCCACUGAGCCAAACCGGUCAGGGCUGACCUGUGUUUUUAUAUAAAGGGAAAAUUUGGCCCAGCCAGGGUGGGUCAGUGGUUGAGCAUUGACCCAGUAACCAAGAGGUCAGUAGUUCAAUUCCUGGUCAGGGUACAUGCUCAAUUCCCAGUAGGGGAUAUGCAGGAGGCAACCAAUUGAUGUUUCUCAUUGAUGUUUCUAUCUCUCUAUCCCCAUUCCUUUCCCUUUCUCUAAAAUCAAUAAAAUAUACAUAUAUAUACAUAUACAUGUACAUAUACAUAUACAUAUAUAUAUAUAUAAAUAUAUGAAAUUUGCACGCAGACAUGCACACUGCGAGAAGAUGAAGGCAGAAGUUGGGUGACACAUCUACAAGCUAAGGAACACCAGAGAUUGCCAGAAAACCACCAGAAGCUCAGGGAGAAGCCUGGAACAGGCUCUCCCUCACUCCUUCAGGGGGAACCAACACUACCAACAUGUUGAUCUUAGACUUCUAGCUUCCAUAACUGUGAGACAAUACAUUUUUAUUGGUGAAGCCAGCCAGUUUGUGGUACUGUUACAGCAGUUCUAGGAGAUGGUCACAGCACUUUUCCUGGAAGCUGCUCCCCAGGUUGCAGACACAUGCUGCUGCUUCCUACCCUAGAGCCAAAGCAAACAUCAGGCUGAGCAGUCACCAUUAAACCCUGCCCCUGCAGACCUCUCUAGACUUACCAGUACUGCGUGAGCGAAUGAUAUUUGGACCAUUCCUCAGAAGGUAAAGGUAGCAGGAAAUCCUCAUCGCUGCUCUGUCAGAAUCAAUGACAGAUGCAGACGAAGCAGACAAGGAGAGGCAGAGGUUGAUGUUGGCUCCCUUUAAACCCUACUACUUUAGAAAAGCCAGCUUUUGCUUAGUGAAAAAAUUCUCCAACACCAACUCUCCAAGAAAAUCAGUUCCCUUUCAUGCUCAGAAGAAUACAGGUUAAAUUCCAUUUGUCACGAGAUCAUAUAAUUACCCUAUUUUAGAGGCUACUGCUUCACUGAUGAUGAAAAACAGUACACAUAUUUCAGAGAGCUGGCAUUAUCGAGCAUCUCCUGACAGUCAGCCACUGCUAUGUUCUGGGACCACAGUGGUGAGCAAAAGGGCCCCCAGAGAGCAUGCAGUCUAGUUAGUGUGGGCACCAGCUUCAAAGGGUCUUCUAUAUACCUCUGAAACCAGAUACAAUUAGAAUCCAAAUGAUGCCUGUUCAGUUAAAUUUGAUGACACACAAAAUAUUGUAAAAGGUGUUAAAAGAGAUACAAAGACAGUUUUCCUUCUUAAAAAGUUUAUAAUCUAGUUAGGAGAAAAGACCAUGUGGGGUGCAGGGUGUAUUUGAAGGACCCCAAGUCAGCCAGCAUGGAGUAGUAGAGACAGGGCUGAAACAAGGCUCGACUUUUAGAAAUACUUUUCCAAAAAGAUUUUUUACUUUCUUAAAAGCAGUAGUACAAGCAGAACCACCACCACGAUAAUUUAUUUUUCAUUUUUUAAAUUGAAUUUAUGGGGUGACAUUGGUUAGUAAAAUUAAAUAGGUUUCAGGUGGACAAUUUUUAUUUGUGAUGUAUAAUGAGUUGUUUGUACAUACACCUGGAUGCCGCCUACCUUUUCCACAGCACUGGUCAUCUCCCAACCACUUUUGGCCACCAGCUUUUUGAAAGCCUCCACAUUGUCAUCACUCAGGGAUACCUAACAUGCAAAUAUUUAAAAAGCUGUGAGUUCAAUGCACAGAUAUGGGAACAAAUAUUUUCUGCUUAGAAAAUGGGUACUUUUAGAGCCAAAGUGAUUAUGUUGAGCUUAAAACUAUGCUACAGGUAACAACUUCUGUCUCAAACUCUUAAUUUGGAAUUCAGACAAGGUAACAUGAGGCCUGUAUGUUUAGCAAAUUAAUAUGAUUUUAAUUGGUGUGCUAAGCAAAGACAAGAUUGCUCUUCAGUAUAACUUAUUAAUAAACUUGGAUUUUCCUUUACAUUUUAUGGCCCAAAACAUGAAAACAACUAAUACUUUGUUGCUGUGUUAUAAAAAUGCAAGCUGGUGGGCAUGUUUUCAGCAAAAAUCGUGCUAAGACAAUGUCCCAUGCAGCUCAGAUGCAUUUGAAGGCAGAACAUCCUGCAUUUGUAAUUUGGGAACUGUACCUACAGUUCAAACAAGGCAGCAAAGCAACUGGUUGGUAACCAGUUACUGACAGCUUGGUUCUGUUUCAUGGUAAGAUGACUGGUUGCUAUGAUUCACCUUUCCAUCUAACCUGUGUAAGCACAAGCUGAAUCAGUUAAAUAGGGAAUUUCUGUUUUUGCAAUGAUGUGGUCUUUACACGAAGCAUUCCAAAUCAUAAAACUGUCACCUGGUUGCGAAUAUCCCAGUGUACGCAAAGUGGAAUCUCUUGUUUGUGGGAAAUAACAUAUUUUCUGGGGGGAAAAAAUAAAAAUGUUAAAUAACAGUUUUCUUCCCUGUAUUUAGCACACAACAGUAACCAUGACACACACUUUCUUGAGCCGAAAUCAGCAGUUUAAAAUGCUGCUUUUACUGGUGGAACAAUCAGGAAGAACAACUUUCAUCACUGUCAGAAAACAUCAGACCUUCUCUCCUUUCAUUAUGUGGGACUAGACACCCAGAGAGCAGCUCUUUGUUAUGCAAUUUGCAAGGUAAGAUCUUACACCAUAAAAUCCUUAUACCUACGCCCCUUACCUGCCCAGACGAAUUCUCUUGCGUGCAAUAGCUCCACAAUACCGUCUAAAAUCAUCCUUUAAUAAAUAAUAAAAAAACCAACAAAGUAAAAUCAAUAAAUUUCUAAUACUUUAGUGCUAUAAUCUUAAGUCUCUCUCUCCUAAGUCAGUUGAAGAAGCUAACUGGGACCCAGUGUCUGCGUGAAUGCUGCUCAGGUGAGAGUUGGCAAUAAGGCAACUGCAGGAAGUUCCCAUGAACGUGGAGCAGCACAGAGAUGCGGAUGUGAAGUGGGAGGAGAGAAUCAGAAAUGGGAAAGGAAGACAAUAUGCUUCCAAUAGCAGCGCAUGGCCCAGUUGAGGUGAGGUGGGCAGGGCCCCCAGUGAGACAGUAUAGGGGUAAUAGCUGGACUCCAUCUUGGAGGCCUGACUAUGGCUCCUUGCUCAGGAACCUUCCCAUAGUUGAAAUUCACCUAAUCACAUCCUUAAAGGGAAGACUGCACAAUAAGAUCCCUUCUUAACAUCGUGUUCUGCAAAAUAGUUGCUUUGUCUAUUAAGUGGUAACUAGAAUAUUUGCCCAAGCAUUAUUUUAUAGGCCCUUUGAGUGGUCCACUGACCGUGGAAAAUAUCUGUGACUACCCCGGGAUCAACCACUGGCAGGUGACGAUCAUGGGACAACUGACCUCCUCCUCAUUCCCAAGCCCGACACCCACCCCAAACCAUCCACAAGGACCCUCCGGGAGCUCGACCUCUCUUUUCUGGUCCACUCCCUUGUGCACAAGCUCUUCUCAAUAAAUUCUAUCUGCUUGAUCUUGUUCUGAGUGCUCAUUUUUAUGACAUUACAACUCAAGGACCUGGCAUUUCAACAAAGGAUUAGAGUAA